rnacentral:rRNA from 1 species
AUAGCGUAUAUUAAAGUUGUUGCAGUUAAAAAGCUCGUAGUUGAACUUCAGGCCUGGCUGGGCGGUCCGCCUCACGGUGUGUACUGUCCGGCUGGGUCUUACCUCUUGGUGAGCCGGCAUGCCCUUUACUGGGUGUGUCGGGGAACCAGGACUUUUACCUUGAGAAAAUUAGAGUGUUCAAAGCAGGCCUGCGCCUGAAUACAUUAGCAUGGAAUAAUAAAAUAGGACGUGCGGUUCUAUUUUGUUGGUUUCUAGAGUCGCCGUAAUGAUUAAUAGGGAUAGUUGGGGGCAUUAGUAUUCCGUUGCUAGAGGUGAAAUUCUUGGAUUUACGGAAGACUAACUACUG